AGUAAUCUCACUCAAUGCCUGAGGAACAGCAAGGUUAGAUGUUCAGUAUGUCUGUGAUUGGCCAAGGAGUCAGUGGUGUGAAUAUCCCAUCUGUGGAAUUAUGACUGAAUGCCUCUAAAUCAGAAUCCCCACU
rnacentral:ncRNA from 1 species